rnacentral:rRNA from 1 species
GACGUAGGAGGCAAGCGUUAUCCGGAGUGACUGGGCGUAAAGAGCGUGUAGGCGGGUGAGUAGGUUGCGUGUGAACGCGCCCGGCUAAACUGGGCGAGGGCAGGGAAGACUGCUGAGCUAGAAGGCGAUAGAGGGGUGCGGAAUUCCGGGUGUAGCGGCGAAAUGUGUAGAGAUCCGGGGGAACACCAGAGGUGCAGACGGCGCCCUGGAUCGGACCUGACGCUGAGACGCGAAAGCGUGGGGAGCGAACGGG